rnacentral:rRNA from 1 species
UACGUAGGUGGCAAGCGUUGUCCGGAAUUAUUGGGCGUAAAGCGUCCGCAGGUGGCACCUCAAGUCUGCUGUCAAAGACCGGGGCUUAACCCCAGAAAGGCAGUGGAAACUGAAGUGCUAGAGUGCAGUAGGGGUAGAGGGAAUUCCCGGUGUAGCGGUGAAAUGCGUAGAGAUCGGGAAGAACAUCGGUGGCGAAAGCGCUCUGCUGGACUGCAACUGACACUCGGGGACGAAAGCUAGGGGAGCGAAUGGG